GGGGGCCCGCAAGCGGCGGAGCAUGCGGAUUAAUUCGAUGCAACGCGAAGAACCUUACCAAGGCUUGACAUGAACCGGAAUGAUGCAGAGAUGUGUCAGCCACUUGUGGCCGGUUUACAGGUGGUGCAUGGUUGUCGUCAGCUCGUGUCGUGAGAUGUUGGGUUAAGUCCCGCAACGAGCGCAACCCUCGUUCCAUGUUGCCAGCGGGUUAUGCCGGGGACUCAUGGGAGACUGCCGGGGUCAACUCGGAGGAAGGUGGGGACGACGUCAAAUCAUCAUGCCCCUUAUGUCUUGGGCUUCACGCAUGCUACAAUGGCCGGUACAAAGGGUUGCGAUACUGUGAGGUGGAGCUAAUCCCAAAAAGCCGGUCUCAGUUCGGAUUGAGGUCUGCAACUCGACCUCAUGAAGUUGGAGUCGCUAGUAAUCGCAGAUCAGCAACGCUGCGGUGAAUACGUUCCCGGGCCUUGUACACACC
rnacentral:rRNA from 1 species